GGAAUUACUGGGCGUAAAGCGUGCGUAGGUGGUCGUUUAAGUCCGUUGUGAAAGCCCUGGGCUCAACCUGGGAACUGCAGUGGAUACUGGGCGACUAGAGUGUGGUAGAGGGUAGCGGAAUUCCUGGUGUAGCAGUGAAAUGCGUAGAGAUCAGGAGGAACAUCCAUGGCGAAGGCAGCUACCUGGACCAACACUGACACUGAGGCACGAAAGCGUGGGGAGCAA
rnacentral:rRNA from 1 species